GAGAAACAACAAAUGCGAAGCGCACAAGAAAAGGCAUGAUUGACAGUUCAAGGAGAACUCCUUUCUUCCAAUCAUCGCCACCAAGGAAGGGGCGGGAGCUACAAUUGCACUGCAGCCACUUUCGGAGAGGGUGGGAAAGGAGGCGGGCUGGCCAAUCCGAGGUGCAUGGUAGGCGGGUAAACGCGCGAGGCGAAAACGGCGCGGUGAUAAUGCAAUGUGAUUUAUAGCAAGCCUAGUGUUGCUGCAGUACUCGGAGAAACAGUGGUCCACAGGGGGACAGACAUAAUAACCGUAGUACAGGGACCGAGGUAGAGUGAGAGAGCGAUAGGUGGAGCUACGAGGAAUACGUGCGUGGGCCUGGGUAUAAGACGCCCCACCAUCAGCCUGUUUAGUAUGGGUUCACUCCCCAGAGUUGGGGAACAAUGAGUUGAUGAGAUGUGCAUGGCAUACCAGGGCACAGACUAUUCCAUCCCGGAGAAUUGCAUCGCGCAAGGUGGCGUCAUGCAUAAGAUAUAGUGUUACCAGUCUGACACUCUGAAAUAUGCUACACUGCUAUACUGCUACGUAUUGUGAGAUGAUAUGCUAUUGUGGGGUCGAGAUGAAUCGCUAUCUACCCCGGCUCGGUCUCUACACUACAAACGUAUGGCAGUUUGUUAUCUCCAAACGAUUCAUAAGUCACUCCUAUCCCAAGUAGAGACUAUGCUAUUCUUUGACAUUCACAGUGCAAUAACAAAUGGGUUUGAAUGGCACAUUAUUUAUAUUUUGACUUAGAAUAGCUAGCUAGGAUAUUUAUCGGCUUUCACUGCAGAAGAGAGUGAUUACAGUGAGAAUGUUUACAUAGACUGGCUACCUUCCUCCUGGAACCAUGAUGUCUAACUUCAAAUGCCUUUAGAUGCUUCAUCAUGAACCUCAGAACAGCUUCUUGUGAAAUAAACAAACAUUGUUGUAAGAAAAAUGCGAGUAUCAAUUCAAUUUAUUUUCUAGUGAAAGACCAUCAAACCCAAUUGUUUCUUUGUUUCUCUGGUUCACUCUUUGAUGGACCUCCCUUUGUGAGGCUUAGCAACAGCUGCACGGAAACAUCUUUCCCCCGAAGAAGACGUUUUGAAGUGUUAGUCUUCUGAUUGAUGGAGAAAUGAAAGAGAAUUGCUAAAUAGUUGUUGGUGUCGAGGGAGAAGGGGCCAGCUAGACGGAGAAACGGCCGAGGACUUUGUAUACUCAGAGACUGAAGGAGAAGGUUCGAAUACUAUUCAAAUACUAUUUUAAAUCAUUUACAAUACUCUAUCUAUACUCAACCACACUGCGGUGUCGAUGACAACCGGAUGCAUCUGGUUGUCUGGGGAACUAGAAAAGAGCCUGUGAUGCGACUUCCGCUUUUGGAUGUUAACAAGGCGACUCUCCAUGUUAACUCCUCCUCCACACUUACUGAAUUGGUUCGACAGUGUAGAAGAGAACCUCCCGAAAGGGCCAGAAAGAAAGAACACUUAAGAGUUUUUCUUAUGCCUGCUACGUUAGGUUAGUACUCGAUUGAACUUGCCUGGCUUAAUGGACCAGUAAGAUAGUCCUAAAACUACUAACCCUGUCUAUCUGGCAAUCCAGACAGACGAGAGAAAACACUCAACGUUUUUCAAAGAUUUCAAAGAGCAUUUGAUCCCAGGUAUGGAAGGAAAUCAUCAAAUGCAAAGAAAAAUUGAAAUCAUCAGAGUUUGGCUGAGGUUUUCUGUGAAGUUGGAGGUGUUAAUAUGCAAAUCAUUACAAAAAUGCCAUGCCGAGUAACAUUAGUCAGCUAUUUGUACUGCAUAAUCAGACGGGGUGUAGACAGUGCAGAGGUAUCCAUCUUUGACGAAGCCACAACACAGCGCGAGAAUGUGACCCUCUCCAGUGUACGAGCGCCGCGGUAUCAUCAAUCUUGGUUGAUACGUAUUUUCUCAAAGCGUCGGCUGUGCUUGGUUGGUAUUAAGAGAAGGAGGGAGGGAGGGGGGAUUGAGAAGUAAAAAGAGAAAGAGAGAGAGAGAGAGUGUGAGUCGUGGAAACGUAAUCAUUCUGUACACAGUUGAGGCAUUCAGGGUUCGAAAUUGUUGAGACAACUCUAAAAUGAAUGCUUGCACAUUACAUUUAUCUGUGAGCCGAUUCAGGACCACUAGAGAGUUGACUGGAUGGCUUUUAAAAUAUCUUUUUCUGCGGCAUCUGCACUGUUAAAGGAAAACUCCAUCCAAAAUGGUCUUUUUUUUCCCAUCCAAAACUCUUAAGUGUUCUUUCUCGAUAUUUUGGUAUUUGUUUUACUAGUCCUUUGUUGUCCCAAAAGGUUUUGUUGCCAGCAAUCAAGUUUGAUGCUGCGUUUCAUGCUGCAUAAUGCAGCAUACGGGGAUGAUUUCUGUAUUUUGAAAGUUACACAUCUUGAAAACAUGAUUGCUGACAAGCAAAACAUUUUGGGAGUAUGUCAAUAAUGGACUAAUGAAAUGUAUGAUUCAUAAAAACAUAUAUUAUGUAAAAUAUGACCUUUUUGUAACUAGGCAAGUCAGUUAAGAACAAAUUCUUAUUUACAAUGACGGCCUAGCCCGGCCAAACCCGGACCAAUUGUGCACCGCCCUAUGGGACUCCCAAUCACAGCCGGAUGUGAUACAGCCUGGAUUCAAACCAGGGACUGUAGUGACACCUCUUGCACUGAGAUGCAGUGCCUUAGACCGCUACGCCACUCGGGAGCAGAUUGUUUAGGCCCUCAUGCUGACAUUCAUUUCCUGCCCUGUCUCUUACCCCAUUUAGCAUGGGUCAUCAAUACAUUUUAGAGAGUCGUAGUGCGGAUAAGUUCCACUUAAUAGCAUGACACGAGCGCGUUGCUCACCGCGUUCCGCCUUCACACUCCGAUUGGCCGCUCAGGGAAAUCAUUAAGCGACUCGGUUUUGUCAUUAGCAUUGCUGUGCGAUCAUCGCCAUUAUCACGCCAGUUCAAUUUAUGUAUUGAUCGGCGACCUCCCCCAUCCCUCUCUUUUUCCCAACCGGAUGGAUGGAUAGAGCAGAGUUUUAUUCUGGGCCCCUGUGACCCCGCCCCUGGGCCCUGCUCUUGGUUAAUCUCCUAACAGAGAAGUAGUUGGCCAUUAAUUAAACACCUCCCCUCCCCAGAGCGCCCCGGACCCAUUUGUCGAUGCACUCUGAAUCGAACGCUUCAGUGCUGACGUGGGCCACCAUCCCAGCUCUGCCAGAGUGCCAAUCAAUGAAGUGUCACUCUGCAUGCAUCUCCCUCUUUUCUCUACUUCUUUCUCUUACUUUCUACCUCUAGCCCUCUCUCCAUAGCUCUCUCGUUCUCUCGUUCUCGAUACCUUACACUAUCUCUCCCUCUCUCCCUCGCUCCCCCCCUCUCUCUCUCUCUCUCUCUCCCAAACACUCCCCCACCCACCCUCCCACCCACCCAACCUCUCUCUCUCUCACACUCUCCCUCCCUUUCUCUCUCUCUAUCGCUCUCUUUCUCACUCACUCCCUCUCCCUCUCACUCAAAUCAAAUCAAAUUGUAUUUGUCAAGUGCGCCGAAUACAACAGGCGUAUAUCUUACUGUGAAAUGCUUACUUGCAAGCCCUUAACCAACCAUGCAGGCCAAGAAAUAGUUAAGAAAAUAUUUACUAAAUAAACAAAAGUAAAAUAAAUAAAUAAAAGUAACACAAUAGAAUAACAAUAACAAGGAUAUACAGUAUACAGUCCAUAUACAGGGGGUACAGGUUAGUCGAGGUAAUCUGUAGAUGUAGGUAGGGGUAAAGUGACUAUGCAUAGAUAAUAAACAGCGAGUAGCAGCAGGGGAGGGGGAUGUCAAUGUAAAUAGUCUGGGUGGCCAUUUGAUUUAUUGUUCAGCGGUCUUAUGGUUUUUGGACCUAGACUUGGCGCUCUGGUACCGCUUGCCGUGCAGUAGCAGACAGAACCGUCUAUGUGACUGGAGUCUUUGUCCAUUUUUUGGGCCUUCCUCUGACACCGCCUAGUAUAUAGGUUCUGGAUGGCAGGGAGCUCAGCCCCAGUGAUGUACUGGGCUGUUCACACUACCCUCUGUUGCACCUUACGGUCGGAUGCCGAGCAGUUUCCAUACACCCUCUCCCUCUCCCUCUCUUCCCCUCUCUCUCUCCCUCUCCCUCUCUCUCUACCCCCCCUCUCUCUCCCUCUCCCUCUCUCCCCUCUCUCUCUCUCUUCCCCCCUCCCUCUCCCUCUCUCUCUUCCCCCCUCUCCCUCUCCCUCUCCCUCCCCCUCUCAUCUAUCCAUGGCUCUCUUGACUUUUCUCUCCCUCUCCUUUGACUUCUCUUUCAUAGCUCUCUGUGUCUGACAUAAAGCACCACUGUCCUUUAGUCCCUGUUUUCCAUGUUCUUAGUAAAGUCUCUGUUUAGUCUGUGUACCUGGGUAUGCAUACCCAUAUAGAUCAUUGCUGUGAGAACAGACCUAGGUUCAAACACUAUUUAAUAUAAUUUUAAAGGCCGUGGCAUAGGACAUAGGACGGUGUACAAUUGGCCCAGCAUAGUCCGGGUCAGGGGAGGGUUUGGCCAGGGAUGCUUUACCUGGCUCAUCGCGCUCUAGCGACUCCUUGUGGUGGGCCGGGUGCCUGCAGGCUGACCCAGUCGCUAGUUGAACGGUGUUUCCUCUGACACAUUGGUGCAGCUGGCUUCCGGGUUAACCUGGCGGGUGUUAAGCAGCGCGGUUAGACGGGUCAUGUUUCGGAGGACACAUGACUCCACCUUCGCCUCUCCCAAGCCCGUUGGGGAGUUUCAGCAAUGAGACAAGAUCAAAAUUGGGGAGAAUAAAUAAUAAUACUCUUAAAUACUUUAUCUGGGCUUGAUUGAGCUUGCCUAGCACAAUAGAACAACUAGAAAAGUCUCUUAAGUGCAAACCCCACCCAGAUUCAGAUUCUGACCUGGCACUGCAGACAGGCUAAAGCAAAUCGUAUUUAAACCCAGGUCUGAUAGCCCAUUGUUUUGAGAAAGGACAGUCCUCAUCAGUUGAGUUGUCAUGAGACAAGGUGCCCAGGAGUUCCUGUUAUAAAGUCUUCCAGCAUUUCAUUCUGAAGUGAACAGAUUUGCAAACCAGCGUGACACUCAUUACCAUGUUAUUGUCCAUUUUGGAAUAAUGUAUUAUGCAUCCUUAUACAGCACAUAAGUAAGAAGUAUGACACGUAGUUAUAGGGUUCGUCCCAAAUGGCACCCCAUUCCCUUUAUAGUGCACUACUUUUGACCAGGGCUCUCGGAAAGUAUUCUGACCCCCCUGACUUUUUUCACAUUUUGUUUACGUUACAGCCUUAUUCUAAAAUGAAGAAAAUAAAUGUUUCAAUUAAUCAAUCUACACACAAUACCCCAUAAAGACAAAGUGAAAACAGAUUUUUAGACAUUUUUGCAAAUAUAUUACAAAUUAAAAACAGAAAUACGUUAUUGACAUAAGCAUUCAGACCCUUUGCUGUGAGACUCGAAAUUGAGCUCAGGUUUAUCGUGUUUCCAUUGAUCUUCCUUGACAUGUCUAAGGUGCUGCAUCUCAGUGCAAGAGGCAUCACUACAGUCCCUGGUUCGAAUCCAUCCUGUAUCACAUCUGGCCGUAAUUGGGAGUCCCAUAGGGUGGCGCACAAUUGGCCCAGCGUCGUUAGGGUUUGGCCGGGGUAGGCCGUGAUUGUAAAUAAAAAUUUGUUCUUAACUGACCUGCCUAGUUAAAUAAAGUUUAAAGUAUAUAGUUUAUAAAAUUAAAAAAGGUUUCUACAACUUGAUUGGAGUCCACUUGUGGUAAAUUCAAUUGAUUGGACAUGAUUUUGAAAGGCACACACCUGUCUAUAUAGGGUCUCUCAGUUCGACCUCAAGCCAUGAGGUCGAAGGAAUUGUCCGUAGAGCUCCGAGACAGAAUUGUGUCGAGGCAAAAAUCUGGGGAACAUUUAUGCAGCAUUGAAGGUUCCCAAGAACACAGUGGUCUCUGUCAUUCUUAAAUGGAAGAAGAUUGGAACCGUCAAGUCUUCCUAGAGCUGGCUGCCCGGCCAAACUGAGAAAUCGGGGGAGAAAGGCCUUGGUCAGGGAGGUGACCAAGAACCCGAUGGUCACUCUGACAGAACUCCAGAGUUCCUUUGUGUAGAUGGGAGAACCUUCCAGAAAGACAACCAUCUCUGCAGCACUCCACCAAUCAGGCCUUUAUUUUAGAGUGGCCAGACAGAAGCCACUCCUCGCCAAGCUUGUGGCGUCAUACCCAAGAAGACUCGAGGCUGUAAUCGCUGCCAAAGAUGCUUCAACAAAGUACUGAGUAAAGGGUCUGAAUACUUAUGUAAAUGUGAUGUUUCAGUUUUUCAUUUGUAAUAAAUUUGCAAAAAUGUCUAGAAACUUGUUUUUGCUUUGUCAU